CCUACGGGAGGCAGCAGUGAGGAAUCUUGGUCAAUGGCCGGAAGGCUGAACCAGCCAAGUCGCGUGAGGGAAUAAGGCCCUAUGGGUCGUAAACCUCUUUUGUCAGGGAGCAAAGGCGUCCACGUGUGGACGAGAGGAGAGUCCCUGAAGAAAAAGCAUCGGCUAACUCCGUGCCAGCAGCCGCGGUAAUACGGAGGAUGCUAGCGUUAUCCGGAUGUAUUGGGUUUAAAGGUAGCGUAUAUGGGGUGUUCAGUCAGUUGUGAAAGUUUUCGGCUAAACCGGAAAGUUGCAAUUGAUACUGGCAGCCUUGAGUACAGUUGAUGUAGGCGGAAUUCGUGGGGUAGCGGUGAAAUGCUUAGAUAUCACGAAGAACUCCGAUUGCGAAGGCAGCCUACUAAACUGCCACUGACAUUGAUGCUCGAAAGUGUGGGUAUCAAACAGGAUUAGAUACCCCUGUAGUC
rnacentral:rRNA from 1 species